AUUAAUAACCCCGUAACAUUAUGUUGUGGCAUCACAGUAUAAUUAUAGAUUUAUCGCUUAGAGAUGGCUGUGCGGCUGAUUAGGUAGUUGGUGCGGGUAACGGCCCACCAAGCCAACGAUCAGUAACUGGUGUGAGAGCACGACCAGUCACACGGGCACUGAGACACGGGCCCGACUCCUACGGGAGGCAGCAGUAAGGAAUAUUGGUCAAUGGACGCAAGUNUGAACCAGCCAUGCCGCGUGAAGGAUGAAGGUCCUNUGGAUUGUAAACUUCUUUUAUGUGGGAAGANACCCUUAUUUUCUAAUGAGGUUGACGGUACCAUAGGAAUAAGCACCGGCUAAUUCCGUGCCAGCAGCCGCGGUAAUACGGAGGGUGCAAGCGUUAUCCGGAUUCACUGGGUUUAAAGGGUGCGUAGGUGGGCUUGUAAGUCAGUGGUGAAAUCUCCGGGCUUAACCCGGAAACUGCCAUUGAUACUAUAGGUCUUGAAUUAUCUGGAGGUCAGCGGAAUAUGUCAUGUAGCGGUGAAAUGCUUAGAUAUGACAUAGAACACCAGUUGCGAAGGCAGCUGGCUACAGGUAUAUUGACACUGAGGCACGAAAGCGUGGGGAUCAAACAGGAUUAGAUACCCUGGUAGUCCACGCCCUAAACGAUGGAUACUCGACAUUUGUGAUACACAAUAAGUGUCUGAGCGAAAGCAUUAAGUAUCCCACCUGGGAAGUACGACCGC
rnacentral:rRNA from 1 species